AGAGUUUGAUCCUGGCUCAGGACGAACGCUGGCGGCGUGCUUAACACAUGCAAGUCGAACGGUGACCUCGAGAGCUUGCUCUUGGGUGAUCAGUGGCGAACGGGUGAGUAACACGUGAGUAACCUGCCCCAGACUCUGGAAUAACCCCGGGAAACCGGAGCUAAUACCGGAUACGAGACGGAGCCGCAUGGCUACCGUUUGGAAAGUUUUUCGGUCUGGGAUGGACUCGCGGCCUAUCAGCUAGUUGGUGAGGUAACGGCUCACCAAGGCGACGACGGGUAGCCGGCCUGAGAGGGCGACCGGCCACACUGGGACUGAGACACGGCCCAGACUCCUACGGGAGGCAGCAGUGGGGAAUAUUGCACAAUGGGCGAAAGCCUGAUGCAGCGACGCCGCGUGAGGGAUGAAGGCCUUCGGGUUGUAAACCUCUUUCAGCAGGGAAGAAGCGAAAGUGACGGUACCUGCAGAAGAAGCACCGGCUAACUACGUGCCAGCAGCCGCGGUAAUACGUAGGGUGCGAGCGUUGUCCGGAAUUAUUGGGCGUAAAGAGCUUGUAGGCGGUUUGUCGCGUCUGCCGUGAAAAUCCGGGGCUCAACCCCGGACUUGCGGUGGGUACGGGCAGACUAGAGUGUGGUAGGGGAGACUGGAAUUCCUGGUGUAGCGGUGAAAUGCGCAGAUAUCAGGAGGAACACCGAUGGCGAAGGCAGGUCUCUGGGCCACUACUGACGCUGAGAAGCGAAAGCGUGGGGAGCGAACAGGAUUAGAUACCCUGGUAGUCCACGCCGUAAACGUUGGGAACUAGGUGUGGGUCUCAUUCCACGAGAUCUGUGCCGCAGCUAACGCAUUAAGUUCCCCGCCUGGGGAGUACGGCCGCAAGGCUAAAACUCAAAGGAAUUGACGG
rnacentral:rRNA from 1 species